rnacentral:RNase_P_RNA from 1 species
CGAGUCGGCUGGGCGGCCGCGUCGGUGCCUCCGGGCAUCGCCGAGGAACGUCCGGACUCCGCAGAGCAGGGUGGUUGUUAACGGCAACCCGGGGCGACCCGCGGGAAAGUGCCACAGAAAACAGACCGCCGGCGCGAGCCGGUAAGGGUGAAACGGUGAGGUAAGAGCUCACCAGCGUCCCGGGUGACCGGGGCGGCUCGGUAAACCCCACCCGGAGCAAGGCCAAGCAAGGCCGCGACCGCGAGGUCACGGCCGGCGCAGGGUUCGAGGGCUGCUCGCCUGAUCCUGCGGGUAGGCCGCAUGAGCCUGCCGGCAACGGCAGGCCGAGAUGGAUGGCCGCCACCGCGGACCGCAAGGUCCCGGCCACAGAAUCCGGCGUACAGGCCGGCUCGUCCG